rnacentral:rRNA from 1 species
UACGGAGGGUGCAAGCGUUAUCCGGAAUCAUUGGGUUUAAAGGGUCCGCAGGCGGACUAAUAAGUCAGUGGUGAAAGCCCAUCGCUUAACGAUGGAACUGCCAUUGAAACUGUUAGUCUUGAAUUCGGUCGAAGUGGGCGGAAUGUGUCAUGUAGCGGUGAAAUGCAUAGAUAUGACACAGAACACCGAUAGCGAAGGCA